rnacentral:snoRNA from 2 species
UGGUAGCAUCAAAAGGAUAAGAUGCCUGCCCGAUACAGUCUUCCUAGAGUAAAACUGUCAUUUCCUGCUUUUGGUAUUGUUUUCAAGUUCUACAAGUCUCAAAAGAUAAGACAACUUC